CUCAUUAAUCAGCUUUGUGGGAACACGAUACCGAACCCGAUCUUUGCCACCGGGAAUACACUGUGGAUGAAUCUGGUUACCGAUUCCUCGAUAGUCCAUCCGGGUUACGACAUCACGUGGACAGCCUCUACUUCAGGUAUGGGGUGUGGCGGUGAUAUCGUUGGAAUAAACGGGAGUAUCACCAGUCCGAACUACCCCGGUAACUACACUGAGCGACACAGCUGUCGCUGGCUCAUCACCGCGCCUGCGCGUCGGGUCAUCACUGUAUAUGUCGUUAAUAUCAAUAUCUUAGGAAGCCCAGACUGUAACCGUGCAUAUGUAGAAAUUCAUAAUGGCUACUUGGAUUCGUCACCUUCGUUUGGACGAUACUGUGGAAACGAACAACCACCACCUCUCAGGGCUUCCGGUAACAAGAUUCUCAUCAAAUUCGUCACCGAUGGAUUUCACACUGCGCCUGGAUUCCGACUUUUGUACACAAGUUGAUGAGGACUAUGUAGCUCCUAGACACAAACUAACUCUAUUGUAUAUUCCGCGGCAUCUGUCACUUGAACAAGGUUCGAUGAGUGUAACCGCUAUAUACUUCAUUCAACAAUGUCACCGUGUCAUACCUGAAGACUAUCCGUUAUGUUUCUGAAAACACGUUUUUGUUUUACAUUUACGAGUACACACUGUGAUUAUAACAUUCUUUAUUCAUUUUACAUCAAACAUAAAUAAAAAGUGCUAUUGCUACUU
rnacentral:misc_RNA from 1 species